rnacentral:rRNA from 1 species
UACGUAGGGUGCGAGCGUUAAUCGGAAUUACUGGGCGUAAAGCGUGCGCAGGCGGCUGUGCAAGACAGGUGUGAAAUCCCCGGGCUUAACCUGGGAACUGCACUUGUGACUGCAUGGCUGGAGUACGGCAGAGGGGGAUGGAAUUCCGCGUGUAGCAGUGAAAUGCGUAGAUAUGCGGAGGAACACCGAUGGCGAAGGCAAUCCCCUGGGCCUGUACUGACGCUCAUGCACGAAAGCGUGGGGAGCAAACGGG